rnacentral:rRNA from 1 species
GGUAUAGUUCUUCGGAACUAGAGACCGGCGCACGGGUGCGUAACGCGUAUGCAAUCUACCUUUUACAGAGGGAUAGCCCAGAGAAAUUUGGAUUAAUACCUCAUAGCAUAGCAAUCUCGCAUGAGAUCACUAUUAAAGUCACAACGGUAAAAGAUGAGCAUGCGUCCCAUUAGCUAGUUGGUAAGGUAACGGCUUACCAAGGCUACGAUGGGUAGGGGUCCUGAGAGGGAGAUCCCCCACACUGGUACUGAGACACGGACCAGACUCCUACGGGAGGCAGCAGUGAGGAAUAUUGGACAAUGGGCGCAAGCCUGAUCCAGCCAUGCCGCGUGCAGGAUGACGGUCCUAUGGAUUGUAAACUGCUUUUAUACGAGAAGAAACACUCCGACGUGUCGGAGCUUGACGGUAUCGUAAGAAUAAGGAUCGGCUAACUCCGUGCCAGCAGCCGCGGUAAUACGGAGGAUCCAAGCGUUAUCCGGAAUCAUUGGGUUUAAAGGGUCCGUAGGCGGUUUAGUAAGUCAGUGGUGAAAGCCCAUCGCUCAACGGUGGAACGGCCAUUGAUACUGCUAAACUUGAAUUAUUAGGAAGUAACUAGAAUAUGUAGUGUAGCGGUGAAAUGCUUAGAGAUUACAUGGAAUACCAAUUGCGAAGGCAGGUUACUACUAAUGGAUUGACGCUGAUGGACGAAAGCGUGGGUAGCGAACAGGAUUAGAUACCCUGGUAGUCCACGCCGUAAACGAUGGAUACUAGCUGUUGGAAGCAAUUUCAGUGGCUAAGCGAAAGUGAUAAGUAUCCCACCUGGGGAGUACGUUCGCAAGAAUGAAACUCAAAGGAAUUGACGGGGGCCCGCACAAGCGGUGGAGCAUGUGGUUUAAUUCGAUGAUACGCGAGGAACCUUACCAAGGCUUAAAUGUAGAUUGACCGGUUUGGAAACAGAUCUUUCGCAAGACAAUUUACAAGGUGCUGCAUGGUUGUCGUCAGCUCGUGCCGUGAGGUGUCAGGUUAAGUCCUAUAACGAGCGCAACCCCUGUUGUUAGUUGCCAGCGAGUCAUGUCGGGAACUCUAACAAGACUGCCAGUGCAAACUGUGAGGAAGGUGGGGAUGACGUCAAAUCAUCACGGCCCUUACGCCUUGGGC